CUUCGCGCAGUAAGCAUGACGCGCAGCACCGGCACCCGACACAACAGAGCGGGCGAGCCGGCGUCGUUCUCGCCGAGUGGUGCUGCGGCGGCAGGAGCGGUGAGAGCGGGCCGGGCGCGGGCGGCGGGCGCGGGCAGAAUGAAAGGGCCGUCGGGCGGGCCGGCGUCGGAGGUGAUCCGCGAGGGCGAGCUGGAGAAGCGCAGCGACAGCCUCUUCCAGCUGUGGAAGAAGAAGCAGGUGGUGCUGAGCAAGGAGAGCCUGAGCCUCUUCUCGCCCGAGGGCGGCGGCGGCGGCGGCGGCAGGGCCCGCGCCAAGGAGCUGCGCUUCGGCUCCAUCCAGAAGGUGGACUGCGUGGAGCGCACCGGCAAGUACGUCUACUUCACCAUCGUCACCACGGACCGCAAGGAGAUCGACUUUCGGUGCCCGGGCGAGAGCUGCUGGAACGCCUCCAUCACCAUGGCGCUGAUCGACUUCCAGAACAAGCGCGCCAUCCAGGACUUCAAGAGCCGGCAGGAGGCCGUCGAGCAGGCGGCGGCGGGCAGUCGCGACCGGCGCUUGGCUCGGGCGCCCUGAGCCCCGCGCCCGGCCAGUCCCGCGGGCCAGCCUAGCCCAGGUGAGAGGACGUAGAAUCGUAGAUGGUUCCCAAAGGGCUGCGGACGAGCGUCCGGAAAAGAUUCGAAAGAGCAUAACCAUGGAAUACAAACAAGAUUUAAUAACUUGGAUUGUGAUUUGAUUGUGCUGAUGCAGGAAAUUAAUGAAGAAAAGCAAAGAAGGAUGAUGGAAGUUGCUAGAUUUCUUCAGAUUGAAUGAAACUGCUGAAUUGAAUAGUUGAACUUUCACCGAAAAGCACUUGUAAACCAAAGAACCCUUUAAAAAAACCAAAAUCUGGUUAACCAAGCAAGAAAUCCAGCUUGCAAACUGCUAUUUCCUUUUUUCUAUUUAUAAGAUAGGCAAUUCUGCACCAUUUGGUGGGCGAAAAUGCUUUUAAAUUAUUUGUAAUAGCUGUGUUUUAUAUUUUUGAUGAAUGUUUUUAAUAUUGCUCUUUGUGUUCACAUGUCCAUUCCAGGUAAACUAUGUUCAUUUUAUCUUCAUAUCCCAAACAAGUCUCAUGGGCAGAAAUUUUGUAAUGCUCAAGAGUAUUCUGACUUUGGAGUAGUCUGAUAAAUGCAGUAUUUUACAGGCAUCUGACCUCUGAGAAAUAUUGUCAUGUCUGGCUGAAAUUAUUUUCAAAUAGCAGCACAAAAAUAAUGUAAUUGUGAACAAUUAAUUUUGGCUCAUUAAUGGCUAAAUAAAAGUUCACCCUGGGUUCAAGGUAUAGUAAAGGGACUGAGACGCCUUUUAUCUAUAGACCCUCCGGGUGCAGCCAUUCCCAACCCUCUUCUGGACUUUCCACACAACCAUUCCCCCCCCCCCCAUGUUAAAAAGGGGCUGGUAGGAAGACAAGAUGAUGUUCAAUAAUUCACUUACAGCUUGGAACCAGGGAGGAAUUCUGACAAAUUUCAAGUAUCCUAUACUUGUCUCUGGUUUUUUUAGCCACUUUUAAGGAGUGUGGAAAAUUAUUCUACUUAUAGCAACACCCAUUUCUCUACUUGCAUAAGGUUUUCGAGGUUAAGAUUCACGUACUGUAUAUUGGAGAGGAGGGAAAUUAAGACCUCUUAUUUUCAGUGGAACCUAUUUCCAACUAGAUGUUUUUGGAUUAUGUUCUUGUUUCUUAGAAUUCUAGAUUGUAAAGGUUGGAAUGGAUGUGGGAGAUUCUAUAGUUGAAUCCCUUGCCUAGCACAGGAACCCACUAGGAGAGUUUUCCCAGAAGAAGCUAUUUGGAACAUCUCUAACAAAAGGGAGCCCAAUACUUCCUAAGGCAAUUGGUUUCUCUUGUUGAGCAUUGUUGAAUGUUUUAUUCAUCCAUUGUUAAACAGUUGGCAAAGCUUUUUUUCCUGAUGUCCAACUGAAUUUUACUUCAUUGACAUUUAAAGCUUUUGUUUCUUGUCCCACCACUCUUGAUCUUGAUGUCUUAUUUCAGUUAGUGCAGUCUAUGAGUCAGUUUACUUUUUUUUGCAGUUGCAUCUCAUUGUUACUGAUGUUCACUUGUGAUUCAUCAAGGCACCCCAGAUCCUUUUUAUUUGCACAGAUACACAGUAUGGUCCUCUUAUCCUGCACUAAUUAUUAAGGUGUUUGUCCCAAGUUUAUGCCCCCAAAUUCAAUCUUUCAUAUGUCAUUUAAAAAUAUAUCGAACAUGGAACCUGCAGAAUGUCCUUUGUUACAUCCAUUGUACACUCAUUAGACGGGACUCUCCUUUUGCACAUAUAUGCAUGCAGGCCAACAAUGAUAGGGGGUGCAUUUUAGUGUAUCUGGACUACACAAAGUUCAGGAAUGCUUGGUUAAAUAAUGACAUCACAAAAUGGAGAUAUAAGAUGAAACAAGAUAGAUUAAAAGACUGGAGUAGAGGUGGGUCUUUUUCUUACAAGUUCUUGCAAAAGCAGCUUAAACGCAACAGUUCUCUAGUAACUAAUACUUUGUCACCCAAAGAAUAAGAAGAGGAAGUUUUCUUUAGCAGGACAAUAUCCAUUUCUACUAUAACAGCCUCUGAAAUUUUGAGGAACCAGCAGACAGGAGCAAAUACAAUUGUCAGUUGGAAGAAACCAAAUACCCAAACCCCAACCUUUACCUUUCGGCUGAUAUCUGAAUUUGAAUAAAGGAGGGGAAAUAUAACUUCCAGUGCUAAUCUAUGAAACAACUGAGUAAUGUCUUUUAAAAGUCUUCCCAUAAUCUAAGAACCUCUUUACUAGACUACAUAAUUCUAUUGGUGUUAGUUUCUUAUGAAAGCAUCCUCAGACCCCCACAAUGUUGGCAUAUGAUGUGAUGCACACAUUGUUUUCUUUUAAAAAAAAGUAAUAAUUUCGAACAGCAGUGAAAGCUUUCUCAUUGUCGUGCACUAAUUCACUUGGAGAAGACAGUGAAUUAAAAUUAUCUCUAAUUAGCAACACCCAGUCAGCAUAUUGCUCUGCAGUAUAAUUUCCUCAGUGCCAUCACUCAAUCUUCUGAAGUACCGCUAGAAGGGGGUCUGGCUAGCAUCAACAAUCCUGAUGAACUACUGUGGUGUACAAUUAAACAAGAGUUCAAGAAAACCUUCCCAAAGGCCUCCAGGCCAGCCUUUCUCUCCCCCCAAAGAAGGGAGUCAGGUUUCUUGAUCCAAGUCCAUUUGAGAGGAAGCUUUGAUAAGUUCCACAUACAAUCACAAUUGCCUUUCUUUCCCAUCUCUGUUUUGGAACUGCAGACCUAAGAGACUCUGUCCGCAACCCCAUAGCCUGGCUAGUUUAACAUUUUGACUAUUUCACAGAAAUAAUAUCUUCGUCAGAAUGUUCCUGGCGAAGGAGGCAAGAAAGAUAACAUAGUACUUUCCCAUGAGUAUUAUUCUUAAAAGCUCCAAAACACAGAAUGUUUUAAUGAAUUAGAAGAGAGUUCCUUGAUGAAAAUGUUAACAGAUUACAAUUGAUUCCGAUGAGUAGAAACCUGGAGUUAAGGUGAUUGGUUAAUAUCAGGUCAAUUUUACCUGUCUGUUCAAGGUAAAGGUAAAAGCAUGAUGAGUGCACCAAGGUAUCUUUCUUGGCAACAUUAUGGAUCCAUUUGGCUUUACUGUCUUCCAGGAAGUCUUUUGACUUCUAAUCCAGCAUAAGCCUUAAUAUUCCCUGGCAGUCUCCUAUCCAAUUGUUUGGCAAAUCCGGUCCCGCUUAGCUUUCAAGAUUAAAGUGUUUAGUCAAAUAUUGUACUGCUACUUCCUGAACUGCUAAUCUGUUUAGAGUACUGGAACAUUUAUCAAUGUGCUUCAUUUAAAAAAAAAAAUUGCUUCAGGAGUUUAAAGUAGUGCACAAUAGCCCUCCCUGUUCCACUUUUUUUCCCAUAACAGUACCGAGAUAGGUUAGGCCUAGAGAGAAUGACUGGCCUAAAAUCACCCAGUGACCUUCCAUGGAUUACAGUCAACUAGAACCUGCUCAUGAUCCAACGUCUUAACUGCACAGCACACUGCACAUCACAUAACCCUUUGGUUCAACUAUGGUAUCUUUUUCUAGUCCCAUAAAGUCAAUUGUUGAGCAUCAGCAUAGCUCAGUCAAACCUAAUCUAGAACAUCUUGCUGUUUUGAUUAUAGCUUUUAAUGAUUUGUUUGGAGACUGGUGUGGCUUGCCUGUCUCAAGGCUUCUUCCAAAAACAAUAAGUAGCGCAGUAGAACCCAAUGCAGCAAAACUAGGCAAUGUUGCAGCUUUCGUGAUAAUGAAUCCUGAUUUAUGGGAGAAUGAGGGGAAUUUUAAUUCAGCCACAUUUGGAGGAGUAGAAGAUGCUCAUCCUCAGAAAGACAAAAAAAAAAAAAAAAAGAGAGAGAGAGAGAGAGAAAAGAAAUUGCAUCAGCUUAAUUGAAUCCAACCUCAUUCUGCCAAGGUUAGACCUAAAGCAUCAUUUGGACGAAGCUGUGAACACCUAGGAAUCAAAACAUACCAGCACAGGACUUCCUGCAAGGUUGCUUCUUUAUUUAGCAUUGUAGAAUUACAGGUUCAAGCAAAGACUGUCUUUUGAUGCUUGUUUAAUAUUUAUUAUCACAGCUUUAAAAUACUCAACCUUUCAGUUAUCAACAUAUUGUACAGAUGAGGUAAGGAUAAAGUAAUUAAAACAGGAAAAUCACACCACCAUGAUAAAACCACAGAGUAAGCGCACAAAAAUCAGAGUAAAAUACCUGGGUAAAAUUUGAAUGAAUAAAACUUGCUAUGCUGGUAUCUUGGGGGGGGGGGAGUUUUUCCAUAGCUGGAGGCCUACAGCUGAGAUGGCUUCUAUCUCUUUAUGAUACUAAAAUUAUCAAGAGUGGUACUACUCUUGAGUAAAGAGGGCCUUUGCAACCUUUGGGCCCCAUGCUUUUUUUUAAAAAAAAAAAAA